CGACAAUUCACCCCUUUGCCUUUUUGUCAACUGUAUUAAACUCGAAAAGAAGAAACUCCUGUUAUGUCAUUUAGUCUGGCCGGUCACCUGUCUCUCCAAGGAUUAAACUGACGUCAGAAGUUAGCUGGCUGAGCUAACUGGCGAAAAUGCUCUCGCGCAUGCUAGGACUGCUAAUCAACAACCUCCACCUGGUCGAAAAAUUAGCAGAGUCUCGGCCGAUUCGCAGGGCGGCCCAGAUCACAGCUUACGCCAUCACUAAGGCUCAGAUAGUCGGCCAGGAUACGUCGAAGCGGGUCCUCCAGUCGGAGACCCUGCGGCAGGUCCGACAAGAGGCCGGCAAAGUCCCGAGUGACUUGGGAGAGAUAAACAACCGCCUCCGGAGAGUACGAAAUACCUUCGUGGAGGAAGUAAAGGAGGGAUGGAAGGAGGGAUCUGGAAGGAUCAAGAAAUAAACUACCUUGAACUGAGAUAAAAUGGAGACACAAAACAAGCUGCUGAUCAUCUAGAGAGAGCAAUACUCUGUCCAGCAGACAUGUCAGCUCUCUAAACAGUUCUCUGAAGCAAAACAGGAAGUAGUUUAUGGAUAUUAAAUGAUUAAUGCACCUUUUAAUAUGUGUCUUUAUUGCCGACUUAAAUUUUUUAUUGCCCUUCCUCAGUGGGCUUGUAAACAACUCUGCCAACAAACCUGAGUUCUGUUUUUGUUCAUGUAAAACACAUGUACAGAGAUGUUAUGUACAUACAAUAAGAAUGAAGCUAUGUUCACUAUAAUAAAUUGUUUAAUUUAAA